CAGUGGGGAAAUAUUUGACAAUGGGCGCAAGCCUGAUCCAGCCAUGCGCGGUGUGUGAAGAAGCGUAUGUUGUAAAGCACUUUAAGCGAGGAGGAGGCUACUUUAGUUAAUACCUAGAGAUAGUGGACGUUACUCGCAGAAUAAGCACCGGCUAACUCUGUGCCAGCAGCCGCGGUAAUACAGAGGGUGCAAGCGUUAAUCGGAUUACUGGGCGUAAAGCGCGCGUAGGCGGCUAAUUAAGUCAAAUGUGAAAUCCCCGAGCUUAACUUGGGAAUUGCAUUCGAUACUGGUUAGCUAGAGUGUGGGAGAGGAUGGUAGAAUUCCAGGUGUAGCGGUGAAAUGCGUAGAGAUCUGGAGGAAUACCGAUGGCGAAGGCAGCCAUCUGGCCUAACACUGACGCUGAGGUGCGAAAGCAUGGGGAGCAAACAGGAUUAGAUACCCUGGUAGUCCAUGCCGUAAACGAUGUCUACUAGCCGUUGGGGCCUUUGAGGCUUUAGUGGCGCAGCUAACGCGAUAAGUAGACCGCCUGGGGAGUACGGUCGCAAGACUAAAACUCAAAUGAAUUGACGGGGGCCCGCACAAGCGGUGGAGCAUGUGGUUUAAUUCGAUGCAACGCGAAGAACCUUACCUGGCCUUGACAUAGUAAGAACUUUCCAGAGAUGGAUUGGUGCCUUCGGGAACUUACAUACAGGUGCUGCAUGGCUGUCGUCAGCUCGUGUCGUGAGAUGUUGGGUUAAGUCCCGCAACGAGCGCAACCCUUUUCCUUAUUUGCCAGCGAGUAAUGUCGGGAACUUUAAGGAUACUGCCAGUGACAAACUGGAGGAAGGCGGGGACGACGUCAAGUCAUCAUGGCCCUUACGGCCAGGGCUACACACGUGCUACAAUGGUCGGUACAAAGGGUUGCUACCUAGCGAUAGGAUGCUAAUCUCAAAAAGCCGAUCGUAGUCCGGAUUGGAGUCUGCAACUCGACUCCAUGAAGUCGGAAUCGCUAGUAAUCGCGGAUCAGAAUGCCGCGGUGAAUACGUUCCCGGGCCUUGUACACACCGCCCGUCACACCAUGGGAGUUUGUUGCACCAGAAGUAGCUAGCCUAACUGCAAAGAGGGCGGUACCACCGGGGGCCAAAUG
rnacentral:rRNA from 1 species